rnacentral:lncRNA from 10 species
UUAUCCUCGGCCUUGCCUCCGCGAGCUCCGCGGCCUCGGCCCCGCUGCACCUGCGUCAUCCGCCAUUUAGUGUUUUCUAGGAGAAGAAGUUAGUUUUGCAAUUUUUAAAGCCUCAAAUAUCUUGCAUUUUUUCUGAGAAACAGGUGAGAGUAUUAAAACACUAUUUCAUUUGUAUGUUCAGAAUUAAUUUGGCUACUUUGUUGCAAUCAAUAGAGAUAUGUCAAGGUCAGAAAAGCAAGAAAAUGGGAAAAAUUCUGAAGUACCACAUAGUCAGUCCUCCUGGGGAAGUGAAACGUUAUUUAGGACCAAGGCUUCUUCUCAAGUCCUGCCUGGUCAGUCCCUAAAAAAAGGCAUCCAGGCCCGGCGCGGUGGCUCACGUCUGUAAUCCCAGCACUUUGGGAGGCCGAGGCAGGCGGAUCACCUGAGGUCAGGAAUUCAAGACCAACCUGACCAAUAUGAUGAAACCCCGUCUCUACUAAAAAAACAAAAAUUAGCCCGGCGUGGUGGCAUGUGCCUGUAAUCCCAGCUACUCGGGAGGCUGAGACAGGAGAAUCGCUUGAACUGGGCAGGCAGAGGUUGCAGUGAGCCGAGAUCACGCCACUGCACACCAU